ACUACUUCUUCCAGGAGCCAUGAAGGUCAGGAGCAGAGGUAGAAACAGCCAUAAAACUCUGAUUACCUUGUUUCUCUGAGCCAAGCUAGGGUGGGUAAUGAAGCCAGGUUGAUAAUUAUCUUCCUGUUGGUGAUAAUGGCAGUGAUCCUGGUGAUAGUGACAUCAUCUCCAUCUGUGGCAGCUCAAGGUGGUGUCACCAGAGAUGAUGUUAGUCUUACUGGUGGUGGCAGUGCCUGGGGUGGUGGGAGGGACGAUACCAUGAGUGGGGGUUGGGGUGCUUAGUGGUCUGGUUAGUGCCAGCUUAGCUGUGGCAGUUAAUGAUGUUCGUCACUGUGGUCCUGGAGACGCUGCUGGAGACCUUCUGGGAAGCUGGACUCAGGGUUGCCAGACUGAUGGCAAGAAAACUGUGUCAGACAUAGUGCGUCUGGACUUCACUGAGGAAUGUGACAAGGCAUCUUAUGUCCUUGUGAACAAGAUGGACAAAUGUGGCUGGGUGACCGUGUAAUUAAGUGGAUUGAACCACUGUCCCCAAAGGGUGCUGAUUAAGGAAUAAAUGUCCACCUGGAGGGAAACUCCUAA